rnacentral:rRNA from 1 species
UACGUAGGGUGCGAGCGUUGUCCGGAAUUAUUGGGCGUAAAGGGCUCGUAGGCGGUUUGUCGCGUCGGGAGUGAAAACCAGGUGCUUAACACCUGGCUUGCUUUCGAUACGGGCAGACUAGAGGUAUUCAGGGGAGAACGGAAUUCCUGGUGUAGCGGUGAAAUGCGCAGAUAUCAGGAGGAACACCGGUGGCGAAGGCGGUUCUCUGGGAAUAUCCUGACGCUGAGGAGCGAAAGCAUGGGUAGCGAACAGG